AAAGAAGCAAGCAGCACCUAGAGAGUUGGAGAACUCAAAUCACAACUGAAGUCAAGUGUGGAGUCAUGUAACAGCCCGAUCCAGACCUUCUGGCCCUCAGCAUCCGAGGGAAGCCCGAAACAUCCCAGGCUUCAGGAGUCUGCUUAUUUUUAGAAAGCCAAAUGACUCUCCCUACCGCCAACAUUCAUUGUGUU